AUUGAACGCUGGCGGCAUGCCUUACACAUGCAAGUCGAACGGUAACAGGUCUUCGGAUGCUGACGAGUGGCGAACGGGUGAGUAAUACAUCGGAACGUGCCUAGUAGUGGGGGAUAACUACUCGAAAGAGUGGCUAAUACCGCAUGAGAUCUACGGAUGAAAGCAGGGGACCGCAAGGCCUUGUGCUACUAGAGCGGCCGAUGGCAGAUUAGGUAGUUGGUGGGAUAAAAGCUUACCAAGCCGACGAUCUGUAGCUGGUCUGAGAGGACGAUCAGCCACACUGGGACUGAGACACGGCCCAGACUCCUACGGGAGGCAGCAGUGGGGGAUUUUGGACAAUGGGCGCAAGCCUGAUCCAGCAAUGCCGCGUGCAGGAUGAAGGCCUUCGGGUUGUAAACUGCUUUUGUACGGAACGAAAAGCCCUGGGUUAAUACCCUGGGGUCAUGACGGUACCGUAAGAAUAAGCACCGGCUAACUACGUGCCAGCAGCCGCGGUAACAC
rnacentral:rRNA from 1 species